AGCAGUCGCCGCGGUAAUACGAAGGGGGCUAGCGUUGUUCGGAUUUACUGGGCGUAAAGGGCGCGUAGGCGGACUGAUAAGUCAGGGGUGAAAUCCCAAGGCUCAACCUUGGAACUGCCUUUGAUACUGUUUGUCUUGAGUUCGAGAGAGGUAAGUGGAACUGCGAGUGUAGAGGUGAAAUUCGUAGAUAUUCGCAAGAACACCAGUGGCGAAGGCGGCUUACUGGCUCGAUACUGACGCUGAGACGCGAAAGCCAGGGGAGCGAACGGGAUUAGAUACCCCCGUAGUCCCUGUCUCUUAUAC
rnacentral:rRNA from 1 species